UUUGUGUUUCAUAUGUAAAACUGAUCAAGUGCAAUUUAACAAUUUUUUAAUUUCGUUUUUCCCCUUUUUAUGUUGUAUGUGACUGUAUGACUGUACUCAAAGAGCUUUUAAAGCAGUAUAAAUUGUUUUCUUGUCUUUCCAGUUGAGACAUUUGGGAAAUGAUGAAGUGCACAUUGUUUGGUCAGAGCAUACUAGAGACUACAGGAGAGGAAUUAUUCCCACAGAAUUUGGUGAUGUCCUUAUUGUAAUAUAUCCAAUGAAAAAUCACAUGUUCAGUAUUCAGAUAAUGAAAAAACCAGAGGUUCCCUUCUUUGGUCCCCUUUUUGAUGGUGCUAUUGUGAAUGGAAAGGUUCUACCCAUUAUGGUUAGAGCAACAGCUAUAAAUGCAAGCCGUGCUCUGAAAUCUCUGAUUCCAUUGUAUCAAAACUUCUAUGAGGAGAGAGCACGAUACCUGCAAACAAUUGUCCAGCACCACUUAGAACCAACAACA
rnacentral:ncRNA from 2 species